rnacentral:lncRNA from 1 species
UUAAAAGUAUUUCAAAAUGUUUUGUGUAAUCGUGCAAUUUUUUUGUUAUCUUUAGUCCAAUCUACAUAGUCUACCACUGGUAAGUUUGUAUAGCAUAACCUUUAGCAAUGAUAAUAGAUUUAAUACUAAUAUCAAAUUGCAAUAUUUAAACUUAAGCUGGAAUAAGAUUAACAAUUAUUACUUUAAUAUGUAUGCAUUUCUCGAUAAUUGCAAAUUAAUUUUUUAUUAAAACUUUUAAACCUUAGUUCCAUGUGCUGCUGCAUUGAGUGUUAAGUUGAAAAAUAUUUUUAUUGUAUACUACAAAAAACUUGUUCAUAUAUGUCUUUAUUUCACAUCAACUGUAAUAUUUAUUUUUUAUUACUCCUUUUUUAACCUUAGUUCCAUCUACAUCGGCUGCAACUGGUAUAUUGACAAACUAUUUUUUUCAAUAUGUUUAUGCAUUUUUCAACAAUUGCAAUAUUUAUUUCUUUUUUAACUUUUUUAAAACUUUUUUAGCCUUUAGUUGUAUCUGCAGCUGCUUCAAACAAUAAGUUUAAAAGCUAUUAUUUUCAAAUAUGCGUAAGCAUAAUGCAUUUGUAAAACUAUUAUUUCUAAUAUGUGUAUGUCUUUCUUAUCAAAUGCAAGUAAAAUUAAAUUUUAUUACAAUUUUUUUUUACUUUAAAUUUCACAACCCGCACAACCUUCUGCUGGUAAAUUUAUGAUAUAGAAAUAUUUCCGAAUGAUUAUUGAAUUCAUAAUAUUUCUAUUUAUAUACACUUUUUAAUACAUUUGUAUUAUGUUAUCCCUAAAAGUGCCAUAGAAGGAGAAUCAAUAGCAGUAUUUUUAUUUUCAAGUUUGAUUGGCCACCCUGUUAAACUUUCAUUUAGAGCUUACAUAUCAGGCCUAUCGAAGAUAUAGGUCUAUAUGGCCUAUAUCUUCGAUAGGCCUGAUAUGUAAGCUCUAAAUAUAUCAGGCCUAUUGAAGAUAUACCCACCAGCAACCGUUCAUUUUUUCACCAGCAACCUUUCAUUUUUUUACCAGCAACCGUUCAUUCACAGAGAUGAUUCUGGCUUACCUUCACAUGGUGUCUAUUGUUAAAAAUAAUUUAAUUUUAUUCAUUAAUAGAAUUUAAAAAUUAAAUCAUUCACUAAAAGCCAAGACAAAAAUUAAUUAGAUUUUAUAUUUCAAAAGUCUUGUUGUUUUUGUGUUGUUGUUUUUUUAGGUUGGAGUGGGUAAUUCAUCCUUUUAUAUGACAAAAUUGAUACACAGACGCAUCUUGUAAUGUGUUUGCAUCAAGAGAAGUAGUGCUUUAAUAUUACUGAAACAGUUUGUAUCACGCGAAGAAGUAAUUUAAUAUCACUGAAACAGUUUGUAUCACGCGAAGAAGUGGUUUUACGAGAAACGAAACAGUUUUAUGCAAUCAUGCAUCAUGCGAAGAAGUGGACGAAAGAUUUAUUUUAGUUAAAACAGUCAACACAAACAAAUCGUUAGUUAUUUUGGUGUCAUUGGCCAACAUUAAAGAUAUGAUAAGGAGAGUAUUAACAGCUUUGAUAACUAAUGUUUUAACUAGUGAAUUAAAUUUCAUGGAACACGGGGAAAAUAUGCCUUUUCAGUCCUUAUGAUAACAAAAAUUGUCAAUGAUGCAGUUCGACUUAAUCCAUUUACAAAAAAAGCUACAGCUGCUGAAGUAGAAGACGUAUUGAAGAAAUGGCUUUAAAACGCAAAAGAUAGGAGCCCAGAUCGCGAGUUGAACGACGAACUUGCAAAUAAUAUAGAAGACGAAUAAAAACAAUUUGCCACUAUUGCAAUAUUGCAAAAAAAUAUUAUC